rnacentral:rRNA from 1 species
AUUGAACGCUGGCGGCAGGCCUAACACAUGCAAGUCGAGCGAGCGGCGGACGGGUGAGUAAUGUAUGGGGACUGCCCGAUAGAGGGGGAUAACUACUGGAAACGGUGGCUAAUACCGCAUACUGUCGGAUAACCCAUAUGGGAUUAGCUAGUAGGUAAGGUAAUGGCUUACCUAGGCGACGAUCCCUAGCUGGUCUGAGAGGAUGAUCAGCCACACUGGGACUGAGACACGGCCCAGACUCCUACGGAGGCAGCAGUGGGGAAUCUUCCGCAAUGGACGAAAGUCUGACGGAGCAACGCCGCGUGAGUGAUGACGGCCUUCGGGUUGUAAAGUACUUUCAGUCGGGAGGCGUUACCGACAGAAGAAGCACCGGCUAACUCCGUGCCAGCAGCCGCGGUAAUUC